rnacentral:rRNA from 1 species
CCCUUAGAUGUUCUGGGCCGCACGCGCGCUACACUGACGAAUGCAACGAGCUUAUAACCUUGGCCGAAAGGUCUGGGUAAUCUCCAAAUUUCGUCGUGAUGGGGAUAGAUUAUUGCAAUUAUUAAUCUUCAACGAGGAAUGCCUAGUAAGCGCAAGUCAUCAGCUUGCAUUGAUUACGUCCCUGCCCUUUGUACACACCGCCCGUCGCACCUACCGAUUGAAUGGUCCGGUGAAGCCUCCGGAUUGGCGCGCACCUCGGUGCCGCCGAGAAGUUGGCUAAACCUUACCAUUUAGAGGAAGGUGAAGUCGUAACA